UUAGACGAUGCAUUGGACUCACGACAUCGUGUGACUCUACGUGAAUGCAUCGAUGCAUCCGUCUAUAACCACCUUUAUAGGGACAGUGCUGGAGAGGAAAAACGGUGGGAGAAACGUCGAGAAAGACACAGUGGUCAAUCCCAGAGUCAGAGAAAGUUUCUUAAGGUCAAAGUCAGGAAAAGUUGCUACACCGAAAAUUUGUGUGACCGCGGAUUUUCUCUAAUAUAUACGGCACAACCCUCACCUUCCCAUUUUCAGAAUAUACCGCAAAUAUACCGUAAAUUGUAAAUGA